CUUUUUCAUUGCGAGGAUACGAUAGGAGAGAGGAGGGGUUUAAGCACUAUGGAAACGGUGCUGCCUCGCAUUGGCGUGGGUCUAUGCACUCCGCGGCUCAUACACUGUCCUACAAAACCUAACAAGUUCCAUUCCUCCUCCUCCUUCGCCGGCGGCGGUGGCGGCUCUUUCUCCGCCACUUCCGCCACCAGCAAAUGGGCCGAACGCCUCAUCUCCGAUUUCCAAUUCCUCGGCGACGGCUCUUCCACCGCCACUCUGAGCCCCUCCCUCCCUCCGCGACUGGACCCUCCCGAACGCUACGUCUCGAUCCCCUUGGACCUGUACCGAGUCCUCGGCGCCGAAACGCAUUUCCUCGGCGAUGGCAUUCGCAGGGCUUAUGAAGCCAAAUUCUCGAAGCCUCCUCAGUACGCAUUCAGCAACGACGCGUUAAUUAGCCGGCGCCAAAUCCUCCAAGCCGCUUGUGAAACCCUAGCCGAUCCAGCUUCCAGAAGAGAGUACAAUCAAGGCCUUCUCGACGACCAAGACGCUACCAUUCUCACUCAAAUUCCUUUCGACAAGGUUCCUGGAGCUUUGUGCGCGUUGCAGGAAGCUGGAGAGACCGAGCUUGUGCUUGAUAUUGGACAGGGUUUGCUUAGAGAGAGGUUACCCAAGUCGUUUAAGCAAGAUGUUGUUUUGGCUAUGGCACUUGCUUAUGUUGAUUUCUCAAGGGACGCUAUGGCUUUCUCGCCACCUGAUUUCAUUGCGGCCUGUGAAAUGCUCGAGAGGGCAUUGAAGCUUUUGCAGGAAGAAGGGGCAAGCAGCCUAGCUCCAGAUUUACAAGCACAAAUAGAUGAGACUCUAGAAGAGAUAACCCCACGUUGUGUUUUGGAACUUCUAGCCUUGCCUCUUGAUGAUGAACAUCGGGCACGGAGGGAGGAAGGUCUUCUUGGUGUCCGCAACAUAUUGUGGGCAGUUGGAGGAGGGGGAGCAGCAGCAAUUGCUGGGGGUUUCACCCAUGAAGAUUUCAUGAAUGAGGCAUUCUUACAUAUGUCAGCGGCUGAACAGGUUGAACUUUUUGUAGCCACACCAAGUAAUAUUCCAGCUGAAAGUUUUGAAGCGUAUGGAGUAGCACUUGCACUGGUUGCACAAGCCUUUGUGGGUAAAAAGCCACAUCUUAUCCAAGAUGCUGAUAACUUAUUUCAACAACUUCAACAGACUAAAGUUACAACUAUGAGCAACGUUCCCUCUGUCUAUACUCCCAAGGAGAAGAGAGAGUUUGAUUUUGCAUUAGAAAGGGGCCUUUGUGCACUGCUAGUUGGGGAGCUCGAUCAAUGUCGGUCAUGGUUGGGAUUAGAUACUGAUAACUCUCCCUAUAGAAACCCAUCCAUUAUAGAAUUUGUUAUGGAAAAUGCAAAGGGAGACGAAGACAGUGAUCUUCCUGGACUAUGUAAAUUGUUGGAGACAUGGUUGAUGGAGGUGGUUUUUCCCAGGUUUAGAGAUACUAAAGACACACAAUUCAAGCUUGGAGAUUACUAUGAUGACCCUACUGUGCUGAGAUAUCUUGAGAGGCUGGAGGCUGUUGGCCAUUCACCCUUAGCUGCGGCUGCCGCCAUAGUAAAAAUUGGAGCUGAGGCUACUGCUGUCAUUAGCCAUGUCCAGACUAGUGUAAUAAAUGCAUUGAAGAAGGUAUUUCCUGUAGACUCUGAAGAUAAAAUUGUGAAACAUCAAGAAAAUGACGAGAAGGAUAAUUUUGGCCUUUCUGAAAGCAAGAAUCCUCUGUUAUAUUCAGAUCUUGAUACUUCAGUCAAUGUUGAUGUUUCUGGAAUAAAAAAUACUGUUGUGAUGGGUGGUGCUGAAUAUAUUACUGAUGAAAUUAAAAGUGCAAGUGUCAAGAUCAUGUGUGCUGGUGUUGUAAUUGGACUUGUAACUUUGGUUGGUUUGAAGUUUUUACCUGCUAGGAAUGGUUCACCCAUGUCUGGCAAGAUGACUAACCCAGCAAUGGCAUCAGACACUUUCAACUUGGGUUCCUUGGGAGAUGAUGAAUUAGGAGAGCAACUACCAAAAAUGGAUGCAAGGGUUGCAGAAGCUCUAGUUCGUAAGUGGCAAAAUAUAAAAUCCCAAGCUUUUGGACCUGACCAUUGCCUUGGAAGAUUGCAUGAGGCUGAAGCAGUUAUGCGGUGAAUUAUUAUAUGAUCUGCUUGCCCUGAAAUGACCUGGUCCAAUAGAAAGCUCCUAAGGACACUAUAUUCUAGGAGUCCAAACUAUGUGAUUGAAAAAAAUCUUCUGUGUCUGUUGUUUUGGACGGGGAGAUGUUGAAAAUAUGGACCGAGCGCGCAGCUGAAAUUGCAGAGCGUGGCUGGUCUUAUGACUACUGCUUGGAGGACCUCAACAUCGAUAGUGUGACUAUAUCACAGAAUGGGCGCCGUGCUGUGGUGGAAACUACUCUCAAAGAGUCAACCCACCUCACUGCGGUUGGUCAUCCACAACAUGACUCUUCUAACAGCAGAACUUACACAACAAGAUAUGAGAUGUCUUUUUUAGGUCCAGGGUGGAAGAUUGUAGAAGGAGCCGUCCUUGAAUCAUAAACUAGAUUAUGUAACUCGUAUAUAUAAAUAUCAGGUUAUCACACUUCAAUUUUUCCACUGCCACUGCCUUUUAUAUACUUCUAAACGUUGUGCACUUUUCAAGCACGUACAUUGUCAAGCUGUAAAUACUCACUGUAUUUGCCAUUAGAUUAUCAAGUGAGGAUGUCAGAACCCCCUGUUUAACUUGCAAUUGUUUGGAAGGGAGGAUGAAAUGCAAUGAAAAUGAGAUAAAAUGAAAAGGAAUUG